UACGAAGGGUGCAAGCGUUACUCGGAAUUACUGGGCGUAAAGGGUGCGUAGGUGGUUCUUUAAGUCUGAUGUGAAAGCCCCGGGCUCAACCUGGGAAUGGCAUUGGAAACUGGUCAGCUGGAGUGUGGCAGAGGGGGGGUGGAAUUCCGGCGUGUAGGCAGUGAAAUGCGUAGAGAUGCGGAGGAACACCGAUGGCGAAGGCAGCCCCCUGGGCCAACACUGACGCUCAGGCACGAAAGCGUGGGGAGCAAACAGG
rnacentral:rRNA from 1 species